AUUGAACGCUGGCGGCAGGCCUAACACAUGCAAGUCGAACGGCAGCACGGGAGCUUACUCCUGGUGGCGAGUGGCGGACGGGUGAGUAAUGUAUGGGGAUCUGCCUGAUGGAGGGGGAUAACAACUGGAAACGGUUGCUAGUACCGCGUAAUGUCGCAAGACCAAAGAGGGGGACCUUCGGGCCUCUUGCCAUCAGAUGAACCCAUAUGGGAUUAGCUAGUAGGUGAGGUAAUGGCUCACCUAGGCGACGAUCCCUAGCUGGUCUGAGAGGAUGACCAGCCACACUGGAACUGAGAGACGGUCCAGACUCCUACGGGAGGCAGCAGUGGGGAAUAUUGCACAAUGGGGGAAACCCUGAUGCAGCCAUGCCGCGUGUGUGAAGAAGGCCUUAGGGUUGUAAAGCACUUUCAGUCGGGAGGAAGGUAAUAAAGAUAAUACCUUUAUUAAUUGACGUUACUGACAGAAGAAGCACCGGCUAACUCCGUGCCAGCAGCCGCCGUAA
rnacentral:rRNA from 1 species